rnacentral:rRNA from 1 species
UGGGGAAUAUUGCACAAUGGAGGGAACUCUGAUGCAGCGACGCCGCGUGAACGAAGAAGGCUUUCGAGUCGUAAAGUUCUUUUAUAUGGGAAGAUAAUGACGGUACCCUGUGAGGAAGCCCCGGCUAACUACGUGCCAGCAGCCGCGGUAAUACGUAGGGGGCUAGCGUUAUCCGGAUUUACUGGGCGUAAAGGGUGCGUAGGUGGUCCUUCAAGUCGGUGGUUAAAGGCUACGGCUCAACCGUAGUAAGCCGCCGAAACUGGAGGACUUGAGUGCAGGAGAGGAAAGUGGAAUUCCUAGUGUAGCGGUGAAAUGCGUAGAUAUUAGGAGGAAUACCGGUGGCGAAGGCGACUUUCUGGACUUUUACUGACGCUCAGGUACGAAAGCGUGGGGAGCAAACAGG